AGGGGGAGAGGGAUUUGGGGCGCGUCUGUCACACCCGGUUUUGUAAGGUAAACCGAAUGCAAACCGUGUACGUGCCAGGAUCAGAACUCACGUACAUAGCGAUUACAUAAAUGACUCAUCAUAGCACAAUGCCUCGAGUAACAAUAAAGGGUAAGUCAUAGUAUUAAAGACUAGAGUCAUUUACAUAAUAUAAUCAAAGUACACAGAAUAGAAACGUAGCCAACGUAAAUUAACCCACCACAGGCAGCUGACUGGGGGAGGUCGCUAGCCUAAUCCUCGAACUCGUCGAAGUCCUGGAAUUCCUGGGGAUCCGCCUCGACGCCUUCUUCUUUACCUGAGCAUAGAUUGCCCCAAAGGCAACCUGGUGUUUUGUGAAAGCAAGGGUGAGUACACAUCAACGUACUCAGCAAAUGUCCCGUUUGGCUGAGGUGGACUAGCUUUAUGUGGAGUUAAGCUCAAGCAGUUGCUUUUAGUUGGUCAGGUAUUUAUUAUUAGUGGAAGCCAAGUUUUAGUAAUAGCCAACCCGUGAACAGCUUCCUCCUCGAGGAACAUCAUGAUCAUCAUCGAAUCAAAAACAUUAAUAGAACCAUUGAGUCUCGAACCAGUUGUAUCUCUAAUCAAAGAGGAUCCCAAGGCUGCUCUUAACCGUGAGCACGGCUGAUAUAUCAGUUUCAUUACCCUCUGCAGAGGUCGCACACUUUACCCAUGAGCCGUGAUUCCCGUUUUGCCCGGGGAUCAUGACUCCCCAUUGAUCACUUCCUAGGUGGUCUGGCAGGGUAUCACUACGUAGCUUUUACAAAGAUUCCCUAGAGGUCAUAGCCACCCGUUAGGUUUCUCCAGUUUGAUAAACACAGUACCUCUCCCCGCAGGAGGGUGACUAACAAAAGCAAAACGAAAGAACCUCGGCACUUAGCCUCGGCAGAGCAAGCACUGUGCCUGGACCCCAUUGACGGCACGACGGCGAAGCAACUACACCUCUAGUUCCUCUAAUUAAUUAGCUAAGGGCAUCCCAUUUCACCCUCAUGGUUGCACUGUUAUCCCGGGUGGUCACUCCACGAACAGGUCCUUACGGAGAGGUACUCAGGGAAAAGGCCCGAGCCCCCUAGAGUAUCACAAUAUCAUCCUUGGGAUAACAUCAUCGUAUCAUAAUAUUCACAUCAUGUUCAUUGAUUAAAGUAAAGCAAUAGCAUAAAGCUAACCAUGAUAACCCAAAAGGGUAAACAAGGAUAAGUAAAUAGAAAGCUAGUCAAUCCUUAGGUUGAUCAUUGUAUGCGGGACAGUGAAUUAUAAGUAGAUAGGACAUAAUGGGUCAGAGGACACUUGCCUUCACCAAACAGAUGCUCAGAAUCUUCAGCCUUGUAGAACUCAAAGAGCUGGGUCAUUUGAUCGUCGAAGCUUGAUCGUCGAUUCCUCGAAGCUCGGAAAUGGAUCACAGUCUAUUUGUGUCACACAGUGAAAACCAACAGGCACAAACAAACAGACAUAUGUAUAUGCAUAAGAACAUUACACCAUUAAAAUAAAAACAUAAUAAAACAUGCAAAAUGAAAUAGAGUGUGCUACUAUAGUCACGCGAUGAAAAGAAACACGAUAGUCGGAGCUACGGUCGAGAAGUUAGCGCGUUUACUCUAAAAAUAUUAGUUAGAACAUUUGAUUCGACGUUAUCAAAUAUAAAUUAUAUCUAAUAUUUAGUUUCACUUAACCUGUUACACUAGCAGCUAUUAGUUAACUAGUAAUUUAAUUAAAGCGAGAGAUUAUAGGCGAUGCGAAUUUACGACACAUGAAACAACACGACAGCGUGCAGAAGGACGCUUGGACACGCACGACCACACGCGAUUUAGCGCGCGGACGACGCCUGAAACAGUGCGUGCGACCAGCGUGAAUAUCGUGCGAAUCAGCACGCGCGACAGGCGAGAAAAUACUAAGUAGAGAACACGCUUAUACUAGGCAAAUGUUAAAUAAAUAGAAAGUAGUUAGUUAAUAUUAGCCAUGAUAACGUUUAUUAUAAAAGUCCAAGUUAAACAUUACACAUUUAAUCCAACCAGAAUAUUAAUCUAAUAAAUACUAGUCGAGUCACCCAUAAGUUAGUUAUCCAACAUAUAUGAUCUGAUGAACUAACGUUACUAACAUGAGCGUUUAUAAACGAAAUUAAUUUAUUAUCACGCGCAGACGUCGCGCGACACAGGUGAUCGACACGCGAGAUACACGUUAACAACGCGCGGCAAGGCAAGCGACACAUGCAAAUGGCACACGCGACGCAGACAAACGACGUGUGGCGGCACACGACACUAUAUGGAAUAGCGUGCGGAUGGCACGAGAAACAACACGCACGACAGUGCGCGACACGCGUGAGUCAACACGACUACGCGCAUGAACAGCACGACGACGCGCAAACGAUGCCGCGCGCGAACAACAACAAACAACUAAUUAAUUAAGAGUAUUUAAGCUGGUAUUAAUCAAGUUAAUUAACAUUUAUAUUUAUAAAAGCACGAGUUAAAACUAUAGACUUGUUCUAAAUAAAUUGUUAUUUUAUUAACCCUCGAAUAAACCAAUAAUUAAUUAUUCGACUAAAACAUGCGACCUGACGACAACGAGCGCCACAUGUGGGAACAGCUCGUGCGUCACGCGUGAAGGAGCACACAGAAAGAGCGCACAACCACGUGUGACUAUGAGCAAAUGACAUGUGACAAUGCGCGCGAACAGCCUGCGACAACCGCGUGCAAAACAACACUACGACACGCACACGGUGCGCGCACAACACGACGACGAGCACAUCACACGCGAACAGCGCGACGAUAGUGCGACAACACGGGAACUACUAAAUAGAUGUUGCGUCUAUACUAAACAAGUAUUAAAUUAAAACAUUUGUGUAGUCAUUAAUCACACUAACAUGUGUUUAUAAAUCGUAACUAAAACUAUGAAUUAGUUAUUUUAAUGACCAAGAGAUAAACAAUUACUUUAUUAAUUAAAUAAAACAUUUGUCACGACCAAACAAUGUUUCUAACAUGUAGACAACGUUAUUAUCAAACUAACGCAACUAGAACGAGUCAAAACAAAUUUAUAACAUGUGCACGAGAUCAUUACACGGUUAAUAUAACUGGAAUGGAUUAAUCGAAUAUCUAACACCAAAGUUAAUACAUAUUUUAAUAAAUAGCGCACUAACAACGAUGUGGCACGAUCCUAUCGGUCAGAAUCGUGCCACACCAAGGGUCACAUGAUCUCAUCCACAACCGGUCAAAGUGAAUGGGAUCAAAUGUGGCUACAUGGACUUAUUCCUCUCUGCUGUAACCGCACAUGCGAGCACAUGCGAUUCUUUUUCCUGUGCACGCACGAAGUGGGCAGCUUCUUCUCCAAUCUUCCAUUCUUCAACUACAAGGACGCUGGGGAAAGCUCGGACGACCUGGGCAGCUGCGCAAGAGCAGAAUCGCACCAGGGUCAAGGCCGGGGCCGUCCACCAGGGGCGCUCCUCGGUAGUCGCUGCAUGCUAGGGAGCCGCUGCCAGGGCCGUAGCCAUGGAGGCUUGCCAGGCGAGGGCCGAGGGGCAUGGGCUAGCAGGGGUAGGGGCCUGGGGCAGCGCGGCUCGCCGGCGACCCACCAGCCAACGGCGCUUGCGCACACAGGACGUGCAGGGGGGCACGACUGCAGGGACUCGACCAUGGCCAUGCGCUGGGGCCACACAUCGGAGGGAAGGGGAGCCGCGCAGGGGCUCGCCGGGAGGAGACGAACUGCUUGGCAGGGGGCAGAGAGGGCUACUCGCCGGGGAAGAACCCGUGGGGAGGGAGGGAGCAGCCAGAGAGGAAGAGGGAUAAAGGGAGAAGAGGGAGCCUCACUCGGCCACUAACCUCGGCAACGACGAGAGCAUCGCAGAUCUUCCUGGGCGAUUCGGCGCGGCGAACGACUGAGCGGCCAGGACAUGGAGGGCAGCUCACCGGAGAGCCGAGGUCGACUGGGGGGCGGGGCUGGCCGCCGCCAUGGCCACGGCUAGGGGUUGUAGCCGGCCGGACGCCGUGCGCAGAGGCCCGGCCCUGCCUUGCCGUGUCCACGGGAGUGGUUGCUGAACGAGACGAGGGAGAAGAGAGCGGUAUGGAGAAUAGAAUUAUGCGAGCGACACGCGAGUUGAGCGACAAUUUCGUUCUGGUCACGCCCACGUUGUGGGUAUGAGCCAAGAGCCCAGAUGACCGAGUGAAGCAGGAGGCGGUUGGGGGAAGAUGCCAAUGACAGGCGGGCUGCUGGGGGGGUUUCUUGUGCAGCUGAUGCGCAGAGGACCAGGGCGAGCGCCUCGGCGCGCACGUACAGUAGAGUGGGUCGUGCUUGGGAAAAGGUGAAGAGAGGAGUUUUAUUUUCUCUUUAUUUAUAUAUAAAUAUGUUUGGUUAUUUUAGACCAUGCUCAAAUAGUUUAAAUUCUAUAGUUUUUCCUUCUUCAAAACAUAAACACAAUGCCAAGAUUAUUUUUUUAGCAAACAAAAAUUGUGCUUCGGCAUGAAUGCAACAGUCAAAGCUUCUUUAGGGCAUUAUUUUACUAAGAUUAAAACGUAUAUAUAACAAAAUAAUUCUCCAUUUUUUUAGGAAAAAGGGAAGGAAAGCGAGGAACUGAGACGGUGACACCUGAAUUUGGUGGAUAUUAAAAAAGAAAUUUUAUACCCCCAAAUUCAGGGUGUUACAAAUCUAACCCCCUUAACAGGAAUCUCGCCCUCGAGAUUCAAGAAGAGGCUAGCACAAAAAUGAGAUUGGUUUAUUGGUUGUUCACGGCUUUCUUGAGUUGACUUUGACUCUGGCAACUUUAACUUGUGGACUGGUUGCUUUAACCUUGAGAUGCUUGAGGCCGAUUGAUGCAAUACUUGAGGAUCUCUUGGACCUAUGGGUUAGGACCCACACACGCUUUCGCCGCACCACUUUGAUCUUGUCGGUUGACGUUGAUCACAUUGUCUUCAUUGGGGUUAGCGACUAACCCCCUUAACAGGAGCGUUGAUACGCACUUGGUGCAGAUGCCGCCGACUCUUAUCUUGACUGAUUGGGAGAGGUUGGAGGAUGCCAACCGGACAGGUGCAAAAGGGAAGAGUAUAGAUAGAAAAGGUAAGAUAGAAAAGGUAAGCAUAGAUGGCUUAAAGGGAGAGAAGGGAGAGCACCUAGCUACUUAAUCCACGGCACUCCGCUAGUAAACUGAUGUCAAUGCGGACCAACGACCACAAUACAUCAACACCCAUCACAAAGAGGCAAAUCAGUCAUAACACAAAGACAAACAACACAAGCAUACAACAACAAACAUCUCGUUGCUAUACGUUAAUGUUAACUAGAUGGUGGUCUUUCCUUACCAAGGGGAAACUGCUCUAAGGCCAUCGAAAGACAAGGGGCAAGAUAAGACAUGUAGGGUACGGGCAUGAGCAUAAUAAAGGAUGAAGCUGAAGUAAGGAUUGUAACCGGCAAGGGAGAGAAUGCAUCCAAGGUCAGGAUAGGUAAAACACCAUUCUCAAAUCGAGAUGGGAAGGAUGAUAUUUCAAAAGGUAGGCAUAAGAUAAGUAUCAUGGAAUGAUAUAGAGAUUACAAAGGUAAGGGAGAUGAAAGGCAAAAGCACACCAAAAGAUAGAGUUAGGACAAGACUUGCAACGCGACAGAGGAAAAGGAAACGAACAAGAGUGGGAUAGGUAAGGCAUCACUAUUGAAAUGAAAUGGGAGAGGAGGCUUUAAAAUGCAGGUGCAAGAUAAGCAUCAUGGUAAAGAUCGAGGGAUGACAAGGGUUAAGGUGAUAACGGGCAAUCACACAACAAAGGAUGUAUUUGAGGAAAAUCUUGCAAGGUGUUAGAGAAGGGGGAGCAGUUAAUGAUGAGAUAGAUGAGGCAUUAUCCCCGAACAUGGAUGGAAAAGAGGAGGCUUCAAAAGGUAGGUUCAAGGUAGGCAGGAAGACAAGGGCAUAAGUAUCACAAGGGUUUUAAAGGUGAUAACGGACAAGGAUAUAGGAAAGAAGGUAAAUCAGCAUAAGAACAACGGAUAUAAGUACCAUAAGGAUGGAGUUAAGACAGAACCUGUAAAUGAAAAAGGAGAAGGUGUGUCCAAGGGCCAGAUAGGUAAACUGCCACUCUCAAAUUGAGGUGGAAGAGAGGAGAUUUUUAAGGAGCAAGCAUAAAGAUAAGUAUGAAGGUAAGAUCGAUGGAUGGCGAGGAAAUGGUGAUAGCAAAUAAAAACACAACAGAGGAUGGAAUUAGACAAGACUUGUAAGGCGACAUGGAGGGAAAGGAAAUCAAGGGAGAGAUAGGUAACUCGCAACCCUCAAACUGGGUUGAAAGAAAGGGGAGGCUUUUAAAGGAUAAGUUCAAGGUGAGCAUUUAGGUAGAAGACAUAAAUAUCGCAAGGGUCAAAUGCGAUAAUAAACAAGGGCAUAAGGGAAAAGAUGAAGGCACAGAAGAGCCAGUGGUAUAAGUACAACAAAGAAUGGAGUUACAUCAAGGCUUACACGCGGUAAAGAAGAGGAUGUUGCCAAGGGUGAGGUAAGUAAAACACCGCUCCCAAAUUGGGAUGGGAGAUUGGAGAUUUUAAAUAACAGACAUAACAUAAUCACAAGGUAGGAUAGAGUGCUGAGAAGGGUAAAGGAAAUAACAAACAAAAACACAACAAAUGAUAGAGUUAAAAACUCGCAGGUGACAAAGAAGAGGACACGACCAAGGGAAAAGUAGGCAAAGUACAACGCUCAGAUCAAGAUGGAAAAGAAGAGGUUUUAAAGGGCGGGUAUAAGAUAAACAUCAAAGUAAGAUAUAGAGAUGAUAAGGGUAAAGGUGAUGAUGAUGAAAAGCAUAGUCCAUGGACAGAGUUAAGGCAAGACUUACAAAGUCACGAAGUGGAGUGGAGAAAACAAUCAAGGAUAAGAUAAGUAAGGUUCCAACAGAAGAGUUGAAAUAGAUAUUCAUAACCGAAAGAAGUUACAAGGAAUUAGCAAGAUCACCAAGUAUGUGCAAAAUAAGAUGACCGCUCAUGGAUCAUUAGGAAACAAGGGUGGUCAUGGAUAUGUUAACUAAAAUGUCUUGAACAGACAUUGGGGUAUGAAAAUAAGUGUACAUAAGAAUAUAAGAGCAUGCAAGAUUCCAAGGAUACGAGCAUACCAAGACAAGGGAAUGGAAUAAGGCAAAGGAUAAAGACUUAACAUUAGAAUAGUAAGGGAUCUCAGAAGACCAGAAGUUCAUGGACAUAUAAACUGGAAUGUUUAAAUAGAUAACAGAGUUUUUUAGGCAAGUAUUUAAAGCAAGAGUAUUAAAGAAUCUAGGGGUACGAGCAUGUCAAUAUCAAGGGAAUAAAGAUAGUCAAGGGGUAGCAAAUUAAUGACGGAAGAAGAAAGAACCCCAACAGACAAAAAGGUUGUGGUCAGGGGGCAUCUAUAAAGAUGUCGCAAGCACAAGAGUGAGAUCAGAUCUAAUAGAUUGAGAGAAGUAUAGAUCAUACUAGAAUAAAACACUUUUUGGCAAGGGGCAUAUAGGAGCACAACAUAGAAUUAGUCGAGGUGACUAAUAUUUUGAAGCAUAAUCAAGGAUGAGAUGAAGUAAUAAUCAAUAAGUCCUUAAAACGGCCAAUGCUACUCUAGGUCAGCGGUCCUACAGUCAGCACGGCUUUGAUACCACUUAUGUCACACCCGGUUUUGUAAGGUAAACCGAAUGCAAACCGUGUACGUGCCAGGAUCAGAACUCACGUACAUAGCGAUUACAUAAAUGACUCAUCAUAGCACAAUGCCUCGAGUAACAAUAAAGGGUAAGUCAUAGUAUUAAAGACUAGAGUCAUUUACAUAAUAUAAUCAAAGUACACAGAAUAGAA
rnacentral:lncRNA from 1 species